rnacentral:rRNA from 1 species
AGAGUUUGAUCAUGGCUCAGAAUCAACGCUGGCGGCGCGCCUAACACAUGCAAGUCGAACGAGAAAGCCCGCAAGGGUGAGUAUAGUGGCGUACGGGUGAGUAACACGUGGAUAAUCUACCUUUUAGUGGGGAAUACCGAUGGGAAACCGUCGGCAAUACCGCAUAAUCUCGAGAGAGGAAAGCAGCAAUGCGCUGGAAGAGGAGUCCGCGGCUGAUUAGCUAGUUGGUGAGGUAAUGGCUCACCAAGGCAAGAUCAGUAGCCGGCCUGAGAGGGCACACGGCCACACUGGCACUGAAACACGGGCCAGACUCCUACGGGAGGCAGCAGUGGGGAAUCUUGCACAAUGGGGGAAACCCUGAUGCAGCGACGCCGCGUGAGCGAUGAAGCCCUUCGGGGUGUAAAGCUCUUUUCGGUAGGGAAGAUAAUGACGGUACCUACAGAAGCAGCUGCGGCUAACUACGUGCCAGCAGCCGCGGUAAUACGUAGGCAGCAAGCGUUGUUCGGAGUUACUGGGCGUAAAGGGUGUGUAGGCGGUUGGAUAAGAGUGGUGUGAAAUCUCCCGGCUUAACUGGGAGGGUGCGCUACAGACUGUCUGACUAGAGUGUGGGAUGGGUAAGUGGAAUUCCUGGUGUAGCGGUGAAAUGCGUAGAUAUCAGGAGGAACACCGGUGGUGUAGACGGCUUACUGGACCAUAACUGACGCUGAGACACGAAAGCGUGGGUAGCAAACAGGAUUAGAUACCCUAGUAGUCC